rnacentral:misc_RNA from 1 species
GAAAUGCGAUAAGUAAUGUGAAUUGCAGAAUUCAGUGAAUCAUCGAAUCUUUGAACGCACAUUGCGCCCGCCAGUAUUCUGGCGGGCAUGCCUGUUCGAGCGUCAUUUCAACCAUCAAGCCCCGCGCUUGUGUUGGGGACCUGCGGCUGCCGCAGGCCCUGAAAACCAGUGGCGGGCUCGCUGUCACACCGGGCGUAGUAGAUUUUAUCUCGCUCAGGGCGUGCUGCGGGUUCCGGCCGUUAAAAAGCCUUUUUUACCCAAGGUUGACCUCGGAUCAGGUAGGAUGACCCGCUGACCUUAAGC